CAAUAAUUAAUUUAUUACAAUUCAGGUUGUUAUUUAUAUUUAAGUUUUUUUUUUUUAACCUCUUUAAACUUUGCUUAUAAAAGAGUUUUUAAAAGGAAAUAAAAAAAAUUAUUAAAAGACACACCAAGGUAAAAAAUAUUUUCUUGUCAAAAAAAAUAAAAAAUAAAAAAUAUUUAAGUCAACUUUUUAUAUUUAUUGAUUGAUGAUUAUUGAUGAUAUAAAGACCCCGCCGAUUUAUUUAUAAGACGGAUCUAACCCAUACGGCGGGUCAUGGGUUUCAAAGGCCUCCGUUCUUAUUUCCUACCUCUCUCAGACUCUCAGUUAUUCGUUGAAGCGCACUCAACGUUCUCCAUUGAAGCGUACUCAACGUUCUCCAUUGAAUCUUAUCCUUGUAUCCCCCAUUGAAGCAGCUUCUAAGAGUGAAUCUUCGGGUGGAUCUAUGGACACAUAUACUCGGGCUAUGCAAAGAGCCGAGCUGAAGCGGAAACUUUCAGCUGGACCUGCGAUUGGUGAAUUUCUACUUUGAUCAGGUAUGGAGAUUUACUGUGAAGUGCCCUUGUUGUGGAUUUGAAAUUGUUAUCGAGACCUGUUACUGCAGUCCAUGGUACAUAAUUGUCAAGGGAGCUGAGGGAACUCCUAAGCUAGGUUGGAAACUACCUUCAGAAAGAUGGUCAAGGUUGAUAAAGCCACCUCGGCUUGCUGGGUGUAAAGCCAAGAAGAGAUAUCAUGUUGCUAAAGAAAACAAUGCAUAAGAUCAUCGUCAGGACUGUUGGGUCCUGAUUGCAUAAAACCAGUAAUUUCCAAUAUCAUGCUUUUGCACUCUUUGUCCUAAACAUUGUGUGAGGGGUUUGUUAUAUUUGUCACUAUUAUAAUAGACUAUGUAAAUGGGUAAGCCCUUUUGGGAACAAAAGGGUAUAUGUGAACUUUUUGUACUUUGUUCUCUUUAGCCAUGCUCCUCUGCUAUAGUAAAGAUGUGAACUUUUUGUACUUUGUUCUCUUUAGCCAUGCUCCUCUGCUAUAGUAAAGAGUGAAUCAUAGUUAUGUUUUACGUUCUUAUUUCGUCGUUGCAAUGGUUCGAUGUUUGCACUAUUGACACUUCCACUUUGACUCAAUGGAAUGAUUUAUACUUGGAAAAA